CCUACGGGUGGCAGCAGUGGGGAAUAUUGCACAAUGGGGGAAACCCUGAUGCAGCGACGCCGCGUGAAGGAAGAAGUAUUUCGGAUUGUAAACCCCUGUCAUGUGGGAGCAAAUUAAAAAGAUAGUACCACAAUAGGAAGUGACGGCUAACUCUGUGUCAGCAGCCGCGGUAAUACAGAGGUCUCAAGCGUUGUUCGGAAUCACUGGGCGUAAAGCGAUCGUAGGCUGUUUCGUAAGUCGUGUGUGAAAGGCGCGGGAUCAACCCGCGGACGGCAAAUUAUACUGCGAGACUAGAGUAAUGGAGGGGGAACCGGAAUUCGCGGUGUAGCAGUGAAAUGCGUAGAUAUCGAGAGGAACACUCGUGGCGAAGGCGGGUUCCUGGACACUAACUGACGCUGAGGCACGAAGGCCAGGGGAGCGAAAGGGAUUAGAUACCCUGGUAGUC
rnacentral:rRNA from 1 species